UGUAUUAAUCUAAUUUAAAUUCUAUUUGACUAAGUGUUGAAUUUAGUCUCUUAAUUCUAAUAACACUCUAUCUCUCUCUCACAUUCUCCAUAUCUCUCACGUUGUUUCUGCCAAAAGUAAUUUCAAGAACUGAAAAUACAUCAAGAGUUAAUUACACUUACUCACAAUAAUUUUUAAGUAAAAAAAAAAGUAAUCAAAACGUUAAGGCUAAGAGAGGUUCGUCGAGUGAGGUGUACGUUGAAGUAAGUUGGGAGUGGUUUGGAGGAGUUUCCGGGCAGCAACAUCAGCGUUUGAACAUCGAUUAAGGUCUAUGGGGAUUACUAGUCUUGGAGUUGGAGGAGCCAUGGUGACUUAGUGUUCUGUGAAUCUCUGAGCCUGUUUACUUCCAUUACAUGGCACUCUAAGGAAAGCAACUGACAAGGUUCCUAGCUGAUUGGGACAAGGUUGCUGGGGUCACAUCUCAGUAAUUGUCACGGUUUGCCUUCUUGAAAAUGACAAUAAAUAUUGGACAAUGGACAGACUUGACGUUAGUAUUUAUCGCUUAGUGAGUAUAUUCAACUUGGAAAACUCAGCUAAGUAAAAUCAGAGCAAGAAAUAACCCUUUCUAGCUUGAAAACAAUGACAGAAGAGUGUUGUGAAGAACUCACAACAGACAGAUCAGCAUGCUUGAUGUCCUCGGCAGUAUAGUCUAUUGUUAGGCCGCCUCCACUAAAAUCCAACAUCUCAACCCUGAACACCUACCCAACUCGCACCUCUGCUACUGGAUGUAUCUCCGGGUGCCACCAGUUGUGAAGAGAGCUUCCUGAAGCGGAGAUGGAAUUGGGGAGAGAUCAAAUAGCCCUAGCUAGAUUCUCAAGCUUGGAUUCACCCGAAAAGGUCGAAAAGCCCUUCUUUAAGCUUUCUUAUUCGCUUUUUAGCGCAUAACUUACUCUCUCACUUAUGUUCAAGAUACAUGGUAUUUGUUCAAAGUUCAUGAUAAGUUAGGAUAUGGUUAGGAUUUUUCCACCAAUUGGACUAUCUGUCUUUUGGUGUCCUCUCGACACAGUUACUUCCAAAGAGGCAAAAUCAGUACAAAUCAAGUCAUGUUGGUUAACAGGUAAAAGCUACCAUAAUCCCUCUGCAAGCAAACAUUAGCCACUCAUCAGGGAGUAACGCGAAAAGUUUUAUCGUGUUAUCUAGAUUAAAUUCUAGUGUGAUGACUUGAUUUAACCUUAGAUUUAUCUUUAGUGAUUUAACAGAGAUACAUCAGUUGCAUUCACCAAGAAACAGUGCAAAAAGAAGUGUUAUUUUUCACAAGUAUCAUCAUUUUGAGGACAGAAACAAUGGUCCUAAAGCUAAUCCUAGACCUAAUUGCCUUUUGUAGAGGACCCACAAAUCAAAAUCUUUAGGAUUUGCCAAUAUCUUUUGAUGGCUUCACUUCACUGCAAGUGCUUGGUUUUUUGUCUGCCCACAAGGAUGAUGGUCCCUCAACGGCUGAACGUAGUCUUGUAGUACUUAUCUCUGAGAAUACUUUUCUACAUAUCACAUAUGUGGUUGCAAUGUCUUCAAUCAAGAAAGGAAAUGACUUCACUCAUGUUCCUUAGUUUGAUUAUCAAUUAAUUGCAUCCUGAUUGGGACAUCUUCACUUGAAAAAAUGUUACUCUAGAUACUUUCUAUCCUGGUGGUAGCCAGUGCGUAUCAAUUAGGUGAACUUCAUGCAAAAUCCUUGGUACUUACUAUAUUUGAAUGCAGAUGCACGAAUCACACUAGUCAUUUUGUGCACUCAGGGCACUAGCCAGUGCUGAAGUUGGACUUUAGUGAUUCCUGUUUGUGUAGAUUAAGGUUGUAUCUAUCCAUUUGACAUUAACUGUUUGAAGAAGUUGCAACAGUGUCCAGCAACUGGGGAUCAGGUGAUUCCAUGAACUGGGAGAUUGCUAUUUGAUAUGCUUGAUGUCAAUCUGCACCAUCUUUUGGCCAAGGAGAAAAAUUAUUAAAGUAGAAUUAA